GGCGGGUUAGCAAAUCGGUUAUGCAGCGGAUUGCAAAUCCGUUUAGAGCGGUUCGACUCCGCUACCCGCCUCCA
rnacentral:tRNA from 1 species